rnacentral:rRNA from 1 species
UACGAAGGGGGGCUAGCGUUGCUCGGAAUCACUGGGCGUAAAGGGUGCGUAGGCGGCGCGGUAAGUCGGGUGUGAAAUCUUGGAGCUUAACUCCGAAACUGCAUUCGAUACUGCCGUGCUUGAGGACUGGAGAGGAGACUGGAAUUUACGGUGUAGCGGUGAAAUGCGCAGAUAUCAGGAGGAACACCGGUGGCGAAGGCGGGUCUCUGGGCCGAUACUGACGCUGAGGAGCGAAAGCGUGGGGAGCGAACAGG